rnacentral:rRNA from 1 species
AUUGAACGCUGGCGGCAGGCUUAACACAUGCAAGUCGAGCGGUAACAGAGAUAGCUUGCUAUCUGCUGACGAGCGGCGGACGGGUGAGUAAUGCUUGGGAAUAUGCCUUAUGGUGGGGGACAACAGUUGGAAACGACUGCUAAUACCGCAUAACGUCUACGGACCAAAGGAGGGGAUCUUCGGACCUUUCGCCAUUUGAUUAGCCCAAGUGAGAUUAGCUAGUAGGUGAGGUAAGAGCUCACCUAGGCGACGAUCUCUAGCUGGUUUGAGAGGAUGAUCAGCCACACUGGGACUGAGACACGGCCCAGACUCCUACGGGAGGCAGCAGUGGGGAAUAUUGCACAAUGGGGGAAACCCUGAUGCAGCCAUGCCGCGUGUGUGAAGAAGGCCUUCGGGUUGUAAAGCACUUUCAGUUGUGAGGAAAGGGAUGUAGUUAAUAACUGCAUUCUGUGACGUUAACAACAGAAGAAGCACCGGCUAACUUCGUGCCAGCAGCCGCGGUAAUACGAGGGGUGCAAGCGUUAAUCGGAAUUACUGGGCGUAAAGCGUUCGUAGGCGGUUAUUUAAGCAAGAUGUGAAAGCCCAGGGCUCAACCUUGGAACUGCAUUUUGAACUGGGUAACUAGAGUACUGUAGAGGGUGGUGGAAUUUCCAGUGUAGCGGUGAAAUGCGUAGAGAUUGGAAGGAACAUCAGUGGCGAAGGCGGCCACCUGGACAGAUACUGACGCUGAGGAACGAAAGCGUGGGGAGCGAACAGGAUUAGAUACCCUGGUAGUCCACGCCGUAAACGAUGUCAACUAGCCGUUCGUGGACUUGAUCCGUGAGUGGCGCAGCUAACGCACUAAGUUGACCGCCUGGGGAGUACGGCCGCAAGGUUAAAACUCAAAUGAAUUGACGGGGGCCCGCACAAGCGGUGGAGCAUGUGGUUUAAUUCGAUGCAACGCGAAGAACCUUACCAUCCCU